UACGUAGGGUGCAAGCGUUAUCCGGAAUUAUUGGGCGUAAAGAGCUCGUAGGCGGUUUGUCGCGUCUGCUGUGAAAACUGGGGGCUCAACCCCCAGCCUGCAGUGGGUACGGGCAGACUAGAGUGCGGUAGGGGAGAUUGGAAUUCCUGGUGUAGCGGUGGAAUGCGCAGAUAUCAGGAGGAACACCGAUGGCGAAGGCAGAUCUCUGGGCCGUAACUGACGCUGAGGAGCGAAAGCAUGGGGAGCGAAUAGG
rnacentral:rRNA from 1 species